rnacentral:lncRNA from 1 species
UCAAUAAUAUAUAAUUAGAAAUUAAAGCAUUUUAAAUAUGAAAGUAUCUUUAAAUAGAUACUUUCAUAAGACGUUUGUGUGAAAGGACUUAACACUGGAAAGGCAUUUGUUUGCUGGAUGAUACGAACACCUGGCUUUGGGUUUGCACCAUGGCCAGAUAAACCACUCUUUCUCCCAAGCGGGCUCGACGUGUUCUGACACAUAAAUCUAAAGCGAUGCCCUCUGUCUCCUGCCUUCGUAAGUCAAUGAGUUCUACAGUUGUGAUUUUCUACCCAGAACCUUGUUUUUCUAGGGAAUUAAGGUCACUGCCAAGAUUCAAGUGACUACUUCUUUUCACUGAUUUAAAGCAGGAUUUCUUAAAGCCCAGGGAAGGUGAGCU